UGGGGAAUCUUGCACAAUGGGGGCAACCCUGAUGCAGCGACGCCGCGUGAGCGAUGAAGCCCUUCGGGGCGUAAAGCUCUUUCGGCAGGAACGAUAGUGACGGAACCUGAAGAACACGCUGCGGGUAACUACCUGCCAACAACCGCGGUAAUACCUAUGCGCCGAGCGUUGUUCGGAGUUACUGGGCGUAAAGAGUGCUCAGACGGUUUCGUAAGUCUGGUGUGAAAUCUCCCGGGUCAACUGGGAGGGUGCGCCGGAAACUGCGGAGCUGGAGUGUGGGAGGGGCUGAGGAAUUCCUGGUGUAACGGUGAAAUGGAAGAUAUCAGGAGGAACACCUGCCGUGUAUACGGCUUGCUGGACCACUACUGACGCUGACCCACGAAAGCGUGGGGAACAAACAGGAUUAGAUACCCUGGUAGUCCACGCCCUAAACGAUGCAUACUUGGUGUGAGCAGUUCAUUCUGUUCGUGCCGGAGCUAACGCGUUAAGUAUGCCGCCUGGGGAGUACGGUCGCAAGGCUGA
rnacentral:rRNA from 1 species